rnacentral:rRNA from 1 species
CGGCGGACGGGUGAGUAACACGUGGAUAACCUACCUAUAAUACUGGGAUAACUUCGGGAAACCGGAGCUAAUACCGGAUAAUAUAUUGAACCGCAUGGUUCAAUAGUGAAAGACGGUUUUGCUGUCACUUAUAGAUGGAUCCGCGCCGCAUUAGCUAGUUGGUAAGGUAACGGCUUACCAAGGCAACGAUGCGUAGCCGACCUGAGAGGGUGAUCGGCCACACUGGAACUGAGACACGGUCCAG